rnacentral:rRNA from 1 species
GUGGGGAAUUUUGGACAAUGGGCGCAAGCCUGAUCCAGCAAUGCCGCGUGCAGGAAGAAGGCCUUCGGGUUGUAAACUGCUUUUGUACGGAACGAAACGGUCCGGGUUAAUACCCUGGGCUAAUGACGGUACCGUAAGAAUAAGCACCGGCUAACUACGUGCCAGCAGCCGCGGUAAUACGUAGGGUGCGAGCGUUAAUCGGAAUUACUGGGCGUAAAGCGUGCGCAGGCGGUUUUGUAAGAUCGAUGUGAAAUCCCCGGGCUCAACCUGGGAAUUGCGCUUGUGACUGCAGUGCUGGAGUGCGGCAGAGGGGGAUGGAAUUCCGCGUGUAGCAGUGAAAUGCGUAGAUAUGCGGAGGAACACCGAUGGCGAAGGCAAUCCCCUGGGCCUGCACUGACGCUCAUGCACGAAAGCGUGGGGAGCAAACAGGAUUAGAUACCCCAGUAGUCC